CGAAGCUUAUAGCACCUAUUCCUUCGGGGAGAAGUGUUAUAAGACUUAGUGGCGAACGGGUGAGUAACACGUGAGCAACCAACCCCUUACAGUGGAAUAACAACGGGAAACCGUUGCUAAUACCGCAUAAUAUCGCUAUAUGGCAUCAUAUGGAGAUCAAAGAUUUAUCGGUGAGGGACGGGCUCGCGUCCGAUUAGGUAGUAGGUAAGGUAACGGCUUACCUAGCCGACGAUCGGUAGCCGGACUGAGAGGUCGAUCGGCCACAUUGGGACUGAGACACGGCCCAGACUCCUACGGGAGGCAGCAGUGGGGAAUAUUGGGCAAUGGGGGCAACCCUGACCCAGCGACGCCGCGUGAAGGACGAAGGCAUUCGUGUUGUAAACUUCUUUGGAGAGGGACGAAAAUGACGGUACCUCUCGAACAAGCCACGGCUAACUACGUGCCAGCAGCCGCGGUAAUACGUAGGGGGCGAGCGUUGUCCGGAAUUAUUGGGCGUAAAGGGCGUGUAGGCGGCUUUUCAAGUUGGCUGUGAAAUCCCCCGGCUUAACCGGGGGCUUGCAGUUGAAACUGUUGAGCUUGAGUACAGGAGAGGAUGGUGGAAUUCCCGGUGUAGCGGUGAAAUGCGUAGAUAUCGGGAGGAACACCGGUGGCGAAGGCGGCCUUCUGGCCUGUUACUGACGCUGAGGCGCGAAAGCUAGGGGAGCGAACAGGAUUAGAUACCCUGGUAGUCCUAGCUGUAAACGCUGGGUACUAGGUGUAGGCGGUUUAGAUACUGUCUGUGCCGUAGUUAACGCAUUAAGUACCCCGCCUGGGGAGUACGAUCGCAAGGUUGAAACUCAAAGGAAUUGACGGGGGCCCGCACAAGCGGUGGAGCAUGUGGUUUAAUUCGAUGCUACGCGAAGAACCUUACCAGGGCUUGACAUUUACCUGAUGACCUUUGGAAACAUUGGUUUUCUUUCGGGACAGGUAGACAGGUGGUGCAUGGUUGUCGUCAGCUCGUGUCGUGAGAUGUUGGGUUAAGUCCCGCAACGAGCGCAACCCUUAUUCUUAGUUGCCAGCGCGUUAAGGUGGGCACUCUAAGGAGACUGCCGGUGACAAACCGGAGGAAGGUGGGGACGACGUCAAAUCCUCAUGCCCUUUAUGUCCUGGGCUACACACGUGCUACAAUGGUCUGCACAACGGGUUUGCGAUGUCGCGAGGCUGAGCUAAUCCCUUAAAGCAGAUCUCAGUUCGGAUUGCAGGCUGCAACUCGCCUGCAUGAAGUCGGAAUCGCUAGUAAUCGCGAAUCAGAAUGUCGCGGUGAAUACGUUCCCGGGCCUUGUACACACCGCCCGUCACACCACGAAAGCUGGAAACACCCGAAGCCGGUGGGCUAACCCAGCACUCAACCAGGAGAAGCAGUCACGGUUUGUUAAAGUGUGUGCUUCCGAGUGCUAAGUUUUUUGGUUUGUAGAAUCUGUUUCUUCGGGUUGAGUGCUGGGAGGCAGCCGUCGAA
rnacentral:rRNA from 1 species